AGAGACACACACACACACACACACACACACACACACUCACUUCUUUUGUCAACUUGUAUAUAUCUGAAAACAUGAAUACUGGUUAAUGAUCACUGUGAAAUUGUUUUGUGAAAACAUUUUGGAUUAUGACUGUAUUGUUUAUGUCAAAUGAUUAUAAAAUAAAUAAAAUAAAAAACAAAAACAGGACACAUUUUUGAACACAUUGGGGACUAAAAUGGCUUUAAGAACCCCCUGAGAUUGAAUGGCAUCACUGAGACACGGAAUUGGCGGCAGACACAUGGACGCCAAUCAACACACAUGUAGAACACCAGUCAACACAACUAUAUUACUCUGAGCUCUUCUGGGGGUACUUGAUGCAGGCAUUUAACAGAUAUUUUUACAUCACUUUGGCUAUGCAAGGCUCUGACUUGCACAACACUGACACAGUGCAACUCAGGACCUCAAAAAGCCCCACUCCAUUUUGUUCUCCACCCCUUAAGUUUUUUUUUCCUAACGAGGCGCCGUUGGCUGCCUGCUGACCUACUCUAUCCCAUUAGUAUAUCGAAGGAAACCCGCUCGGUAAAGGAGAGGGAGCAGUUCAACAGGGCCAGGAAGAUUGUGGAGAGGAUCACUGCAGACCAACUGCGAUCUUUGGUGAAAAACUACUACCAGCGCUGCACCAUCCUCCCUGGAAAGUCUUUCCCCCACCCGUGCAGUCAGGCACGAGUCAGGAGUAUCCAAGAGACCCAGGAGUAUCCAAUCCACCAGGUCAAUUAACUGAGUUUCCCACCAAGCUUUCAUACUCUGGAACACCCACCACAGAUUCUUCAUUUUUAACUUCACUUUUCUACGUUUUCAUGUUUUUUUUUUUGUUUGUUUUUUUGUUUUUUUUUGGUGUGUGUGUUUUUGGUUUUUCUUUUCUCCUUUUUCUUUUUUAAAUGUAUAUAAUACAUUACAACCCAGCUACAGUCAUUGAUUGAAGCUUUUCUUAUCAGUGCUGAACAUGACCGUAACACUCUUGUCCUCAAUCACAGCUCUUCAUCCUCUGUGGGCCACACAGGCCAGGAAAAUCUCUCAACGAGUGAGUUUGAUGUAGCCCCAGAUGCAAAUCUGGCCACGAAUCUCACAGCAUUGGCAGAUAUCAGCCAGGAUCUCAUUGCCAUCCCUGCUGAAGAACUGUUUACAUCCCAGCAAACACAAGAGGUUAAUAUCAAUGUAGUAACCAACUAACUGUGCAUUGUCCCUGCGCAGUCUGCGUUGUCUCCAGGCCUGUGAAUCCGCUCCUUGUUACUGACUUUAACAACAAUAAUUGUAAACGUUUUGACAUGAGAGGACCAUAAUUAUUCUUUUCACUUCUGAAUGAACUUCAUAUAACUCACCCAGACCAAUUUGUACAAUUAAUCUUUGGUGUUUCCUGUCAGCAGUGUGAUUUGUCAGAGGAGAUAGAUGCCCUGCUGGCUUCUCUUUUAGAUGGUGAAACACAUAUUCCAGCAAACACCGGAUGUGAACACUUUCAGGCCCCGUCUUGAAACCAUCAAUUUUGAACAGUGGGAUGGCCUUUGAAAUCAAGACUGAUCUCAUCCACCUGCUCCUCCUCCUCAUCAUCACCAUUCACCCACUUCUACACAAUCUGCAUCUUGCACAAUUAAUUUUCAGUAUUACUUUUUGCACUUUACAUCCCACUCGUAUGCACAUUGUCUUAUAUCUUAUUUUUAUUAUUUGUAUAUUAUGUUGAUAUGUGCCGAUGCGUGUGUAUUGUAUUUUCUAUUGGCUUUUUUGUACAGAAAGUUUACCUUUAUUUUUUAUUUACUUAUUUCUGUUUCUAUUUAUUUGUAAGUAAAUAAAGACACAAGUUCAAAACAAAGUUCUUCGGUUUGGAUAGAAAAGGUUGUCUUCCAGUAACUCCAGCCGUUUCUGUCUGAGAAUGAGAUGUUAGACAUCUUCUAGUCUGUAUUAAUACCUGGACUUGUAUAUA